GUGGUAGGAGAGCGUUCUAUUUGCGUCGAAGGUAUACCGGUAAGGAGUGCUGGAGCGAAUAGAAGUGAGCAUGCAGGCAUGAGUAGCGAUAAUUAAUGUGAGAAUCAUUAACGCCGUAAACCCAAGGUUUCCUACGCGAUGCUCGUCAUCGUAGGGUUAGUCGGGUCCUAAGUCGAGUCCGAAAGGGGUAGACGAUGGCAAAUUGGUUAAUAUUCCAAUACCAACAUUAGUGUGCGAUGGAAGGACGCUUAGGGCUAAGGGGGCUAGCGGAUGGAAGUGCUAGUCUAAGGUCGUAGGAGGUUAUACAGGCAAAUCCGUAUAACAAUACUCCGAGAACUGAAAGGCUUUUUGAAGUCUUCGGAUGGAUAGAAGAACCCCUGAUGCCGUCGAGCCAAGAAAAGUUUCUAAGUUUAGCUAAUGUUGCCCGUACCGUAAACCGACACAGGUGGGUGGGAUGAGUAUUCUAAGGCGCGUGGAAGAACUCUCUUUAAGGAACUCUGCAAAAUAGCACCGUAUCUUCGGUAUAAGGUGUGGUUAGCUUUGUAUUAGGAUUUACUCCGAAAGCAAGGAAACUUACAACAAAGAGUCCCUCCCGACUGUUUACCAAAAACACAGCACUCUGCUAACUCGUAAGAGGAUGUAUAGGGUGUGACGCCUGCCCGGUGCUCGAAGGUUAAUUGAUGGGGUUAGCAUUAGCGAAGCUCUUGAUCGAAGCCCGAGUAAACGGCGGCCGUAACUAUAACGGUCCUAAGGUAGCGAAAUUCCUUGUCGGGUAAGUUCCGACCUGCACGAAUGGCGUAAUGAUGGCCAGGCUGUCUCCACCCGAGACUCAGUGAAAUUGAACUCGCUGUGAAGAUGCAGUGUACCCGCGGCAAGACGGAAAGACCCCGUGAACCUUUACUAUAGCUUGACACUGAACAUUGAGCCUUGAUGUGUAGGAUAGGUGGGAGGCUUUGAAGUGUGGACGCCAGUCUGCAUGGAGCCGACCUUGAAAUACCACCCUUUAAUGUUUGAUGUUCUAACGUUGACCCGUAAUCCGGGUUGCGGACAGUGUCUGGUGGGUAGUUUGACUGGGGCGGUCUCCUCCUAAAGAGUAACGGAGGAGCACGAAGGUUGGCUAAUCCUGGUCGGACAUCAGGAGGUUAGUGCAAUGGCAUAAGCCAGCUUGACUGCGAGCGUGACGGCGCGAGCAGGUGCGAAAGCAGGUCAUAGUGAUCCGGUGGUUCUGAAUGGAAGGGCCAUCGCUCAACGGAUAAAAGGUACUCCGGGGAUAACAGGCUGAUACCGCCCAAGAGUUCAUAUCGACGGCGGUGUUUGGCACCUCGAUGUCGGCUCAUCACAUCCUGGGGCUGAAGUAGGUCCCAAGGGUAUGGCUGUUCGCCAUUUAAAGUGGUACGCGAGCUGGGUUUAGAACGUCGUGAGACAGUUCGGUCCCUAUCCGUCGCGGGCGCAGGAAAUUUGAGAGGAGCUGUCCUUAGUACGAGAGGACCGGGAUGGACGCACCGCUGGUGUACCAGUUGUUCUGCCAAGGGCAUCGCUGGGUAGCUAUGUGCGGACGGGAUAAGUGCUGAAAGCAUCUAAGCAUGAAGCCCCCCUCAAGAUGAGAUUUCCCAUUCCGCAAGGAAGUAAGAUCCCUGAAAGAUGAUCAGGUUGAUAGGUCUGAGGUGGAAGUGUGGCGACACAUGGAGCUGACAGAUACUAAUCGAUCGAGGAGAU
rnacentral:rRNA from 1 species